rnacentral:rRNA from 1 species
UACGUAGGUGGCAAGCGUUAUCCGGAUUUAUUGGGUGUAAGGGGCGUGUAGGCGGGAGCGCAAGUCAGAUGUGAAAACUCAGGGCUCAACCCUGAGCCUGCAUUUGAAACUGUGUUUCUUGAGUGCUGGAGAGGCAAUCGGAAUUCCGUGUGUAGCGGUGAAAUGCGUAGAUAUACGGAGGAACACCAGUGGCGAAGGCGGAUUGCUGGACAGUAACUGACGCUGAGGCGCGAAAGCGUGGGGAGCAAACAGG